rnacentral:rRNA from 1 species
UACGUAGGGUGCAAGCGUUGUCCGGAAUUAUUGGGCGUAAAGGGCUCGUAGGCGGUCCAUCACGUCGGGAGUGAAAAGCUGGGGCUUAACCCCAGUCCUGCUUCCGAUACGGGUGGACUAGAGGUAGGCAGGGGAGAACGGAAUUCCUGGUGUAGCGGUGAAAUGCGCAGAUAUCAGGAGGAACACCGGUGGCGAAGGCGGAUCUCUGGGCCGAUACUGACGCUGAGGAGCGAAAGCGUGGGGAGCGAACAGG